GUAGCAUUUUGUUUUAAGCCAUUUAAAUCCAUCUUACUUAUUGCUAGUUACAUUUAGCUGAUUGCUAGCUGCCCUUUUUUUUUGAGUUUUCACAGAUAUUUGUUGAGGGAUUAAUUGUGAACACGCCAUCUGAACGGUAGUCGGCGUCCCAAUCGCGACGCAGAUGCCCCACUUCUGGAACUAUUUGUACCGCCAUCAAUUGGUCCCUGGACCGCCGAACUCGGCAUCGUACCCGCGGACAGGGACACGGACGAGGUUGAGGUUGAGGACUCGACCCAGCUGCCGUAUCCGAGAUUCAGCGAUAUAAAUAAAUUGGCCAGCCACCGCCGAAUGCCUGUUGCCUCAAUUAUUUUCAUGUUAACAUAAUAAUUUAGUAUGGCAAAACGAUUCGCUCGGCAGCGAUAAGCCAUUUGCUGGCUGACUGGCUGGCUGGCUGGCUGGGACGGAACUGUAGCCGAAGCUGGAGCAUCUUGGCCGCGCAGAUCUUGGCCAGAUCCCGCCAGCACCAGUGCAUCUCCAUCUCGGCGCGCGGCGGUGCAUGUCUGAUUUUCUAUAGAAUUGUUUGCCGCCGCACUGCAGCCCACGUACAUGUAUGUAUACAUACAUAUAUCCACCAUGUGUUGACAAUGAAGACGGUCACUUUCCUGACUUUCUGGACUUACUGGACAAACGCGACAAACGCGAGGAUCGAAAGAUCGGAAGAUCGCAAACGGGAACGGCCCAAGAACAAAUAGAGUUUCAGAUCUUCAGUCAAUUCCCAUAGUCUGGCCGAUGCUGGCGAUCGCUCCAUCUCCAUCUUCCAGCUCCCAGCUCCCGCCGCUGACGUAGUUAUUGCUGUCGAUGCAUCUUAAUCUGCCCAGGCUGGCAUUUAAUCUCGUCCAUUGUCUUUCGACCACAACCAAUGAUCACGGCCAGGAGCUGCAAGCUGGGAAUCGCGAACUGGGCAUCUGGUAAUCUCAGCGAGAAGCUGGCAGAUGGGGCAGCGGGAGCAGCGUUGGAAUGUGUAUAUAAUUUGGUUACAGUGCUACUCUGCCGACUCUCCUCUCUAUUCAAUUAGCGCAUUUUUUUAGCGCAUUAGAUAAGGCGAAUUAAAUUCUCAAACGAUGCGACAAUGGUGGCAAAAAAUGAAUUGAGUUUGCUCAGCGAAAACAAUAAAGCAAUCAGCAUUUGCUGCU
ensembl:ncRNA lncRNA:CR43612 long non-coding RNA:CR43612